rnacentral:rRNA from 1 species
UGGGGGAUAUUGCACAAUGGGCGAAAGCCUGAUGCAGCGACGCCGCGUGGGGGAUGAAGGCCUUCGGGUUGUAAACUUCUUUUGCUCUGAACAAGGCAUGCUAAUGGGUGUGUUGAGUGUAGGGGUUGAUUAGCGCCGGCUAACUACGUGCCAGCAGCCGCGGUAAUACGUAGGGCGCGAGCGUUGUCCGGAAUUAUUGGGCGUAAAGGGCUUGUAGGUGGCUGGUUGCGUCUGUCGUGAAAGCUCAUGGCUUAACUGUGGGUGUGCGGUGGGUACGGGCUGGCUUGAGUGCAGUAGGGGAGGCUGGAAUUCCUGGUGUAGCGGCGGAAUGCGCAGAUAUCAGGAGGAAUACCGGUGGCGAAGGCGGGUCUCUGGGCUGUUACUGACACUGAGGAGCGAAAGCAUGGGGAGCGAACAGG